AGUACAUUGUUCAAUAGUUAAGCACUCUGGUUGCUAACCAGAAGGUUGGUGGUUUAAACCCACCAUUGGCUC
rnacentral:tRNA from 1 species